CCCUUAGAUGUUCUGGGCUGCACGCGCGCUACACUGAUGCACUCAACGAGUUUACGACCUUGCCCGAUAGGGUUGGGUAAUCUUUUUAAAAUGCAUCGUGAUGGGGAUAGAUUAUUGCAAUUAUUAAUCUUCAACGAGGAAUUCCUAGUAAGCGCGAGUCAUCAGCUCGUGCUGAUUACGUCCCUGCCCUUUGUACACACCGCCCGUCGCUCCUACCGAUUGAGUGCUCAGGUGAAUAAUUCGGACUGCAGCACUGCUUGGUCUCCAGGCUUUGCAGCGGAAAGUUUAGUGAACCUUAUCACUUAGAGGAAGGAGAAGUCGUAACA
rnacentral:rRNA from 1 species